CCUACGGGAGGCAGCAGUGAGGGAUAUUGGUCAAUGGGGGCGACCCUGAUCCAGCGAAGCCGCGUGAGUGAAGAAGUAUCUCGGUAUGUUAAGCUCUAUCUGCAGGGGAGUAGAAAUGACGGUACCUGAGUAAGAAGCCCCGGCUAACUACGUGCAAGCAGCCGCGGUAAUACGGAGGCGGCGAGCGUUAUCCGGAAUUAGUGGGUGUAAAGGGAGCGUAGAUGGGUAGGUAAGUCUGGAGUGAAAGGCGGGGGCUCAACCCCCGGACUGCUCUUGACACUAUGUGCCUGGAGUGCAGGUGAGGUGAGCGGAAGUCCUAGUGUAGCGGUGAAAUGCGUAGAUAUCACGAGGAACACCAGUGGCGACGGCAGCUCACUGGACUGUAACUGACGUUGAGGCUCGAAAGCGUGGGGAGCAAACAGGAUUAGAUACCCGUGUAGUC
rnacentral:rRNA from 1 species